GAUGAACGCUGGCGGCGUGCCUAAUACAUGCAAGUCGAGCGAACAGACGAGGAGCUUGCUCCUCUGACGUUAGCGGCGGACGGGUGAGUAACACGUGGAUAACCUACCUAUAAGACUGGGAUAACUUCGGGAAACCGGAGCUAAUACCGGAUAAUAUAUUGAACCGCAUGGUUCAAUAGUGAAAUACGGUUUUGCUGUCACUUAUAGAUGGAUCCGCGCCGCAUUAGCUAGUUGGUAAGGUAACGGCUUACCAAGGCAACGAUGCGUAGCCGACCUGAGAGGGUGAUCGGCCACACUGGAACUGAGACACGGUCCAGACUCCUACGGGAGGCAGCAGUAGGGAAUCUUCCGCAAUGGGCGAAAGCCUGACGGAGCAACGCGGCGUGAGUGAUGAAGGUCUUCGGAUCGUAAAACUCUGUUAUUAGGGAAGAACAAAUGUGUAAGUAACUAUGCACGUCUUGACGGUACCUAAUCAGAAAGCCACGGCUAACUACGUG
rnacentral:rRNA from 1 species